rnacentral:ncRNA from 2 species
AAACACGUUAAGAACAUUCCCCAUAUAUCCCGAGGAAUCGGCCUCGGAGUUUCUACCCCGGCACCGGAAUGCCGGGACUAUGAGGGAAAGCGGAUUACAG